rnacentral:lncRNA from 1 species
GUUGUUCUUGCCACUUGCAGCCUGUCUUAACAGCAGAUUUGUAAAUGGAUGUCCAAGGAAGCUCUGCAAGCAGGUGUAGUAAGAAGUUAGCAUUUUGUUUUAGCUGUGGACAACCAUGACUUCCUGUCGGAGGUGACCAGCUACAGUGAUGUCACAAGGAGCGUCUGGACCUAUCAGGAGAGCCUAACUCAUACUCCGAGCCCUGACUGGGAACUCAAUAUCUGUGACUCUGACACGGUACACAGUCAGGAGGACCAGUGGGACUUCCUGCCAGACCCAGGGAGGAGUGGCUCUAGCAGCCCAGCAGGGUGCUGUGUGACGGGGCCAGAGAUGACCCGGGUGGACCCCUCUCCCCACAGACCACCACACAGCUCACUGAUGGAGGAGAAGAGAGGCCGGGAGAGGUUCAGGCGACCCUCAGGAUCAAGAGGAGAAAGCGGUUACUUCUCUCCAGACAGGAAAGCCUUAUUUGAUGGUGGUCCCCAGGCUCAGGUGGAGGGUGUAUCCAAACGGCCUUACCGGCACUAUGAGAGGGGCCAUCCGCUCCCCAACAACCACAGCCCAGAACCCAAAGCCUCCAUCCCCUACCGGAACGUGAAUCUCGGAAUUCCCUCCCAGAGGAGAAGCGAUGAAACGUUCCAGCAGGAGACCUGGAGGAGCGAGUCGCCACAGAGGUACACCUAUCAUUCCAACUUCAGACGUGGUGGCACUGGUUCUCAAGAUCAGUCUCCUAGCCCUCGCUCCCCAUGCCCAAACCGGUAUAAACUUGCUGAAUCUCGAUCUGCGUCCUCCCAACGUAGAAGCUCCCACUCCAAAAGUCACGCUCCUUCUCACGCUCCGUGUCACUCAUCUCGCUCCUCGUCUCGCCAUCCGUCAGGACGGUCCAGUCCCUCUCUCAGACGAGGGUCUGUCGUGUCUCGCCACCCCUCCCCGUCUCAAAACACGGCCUCCUACAAACACACUGACUCCUCCCACGUAAGAAAUGGUAAAACAGAGCAUUAUGCCAAUGGGCGUGAUCAAGAUUCAAGGGAGUCAAGAGAGCCAAGAGAGUCAAGAGAGUCAAGAGAGUCAAGGGAGCCAAGAGAGUCAAGAGAGUCAAGAGAGUCAAGAGAGCCAAGAGAGUCAAGAGAGUCAAGAGAGCCAAGAGAGCCAAGGGAGCCAAGAGAGUCAAGAGAGUCAAGAGAGUCAAGAGAGCCAAGAGAGUCAAGAGAGUCAAGAGAGUCAAGGGAGUCAAGACGUCCCUCCCACAACUCAAACAGUCACAGUUUGGACUCUGAAAAACUGUACAAAAAUCUUGACUCCAUCUCUCGACGUGACUCUCCAGCCUUGCAGCC